UACUCCUACGGGAGGCAGCAGUGGGGAAUUUUGGACAAUGGGCGAAAGCCUGAUCCAGCAAUGCCGCGUGUGUGAAGAAGGCCUUCGGGUUGUAAAGCACUUUUGUCCGGAAAGAAAUCCUUGACUCUAAUACAGUCGGGGGAUGACGGUACCGGAAGAAUAAGCACCGGCUAACUACGUGCCAGCAGCCGCGGUAAUACGUAGGGUGCAAGCGUUAAUCGGAAUUACUGGGCGUAAAGCGUGCGCAGGCGGUUUGCUAAGACCGAUGUGAAAUCCCCGGGCUCAACCUGGGAACUGCAUUGGUGACUGGCAGGCUAGAGUAUGGCAGAGGGGGGGGUAGAAUUCCACGUGUAGCAGUGAAAUGCGUAGAGAUGUGGAGGAAUACCGAUGGCGAAGGCAGCCCCCUGGGCCAAUACUGACGCUCAUGCACGAAAGCGUGGGGAGCAAACAGGAUUAGAUACCCUGGUAGUCCACGCCCUAAACGAUGUCAACUAGUUGUUGGGGAUUCAUUUCCUUAGUAACGUAGCUAACGCGUGAAGUUGGCCGCCUGGGGAGUACGGUCGCAAGAUUAAAACUCAAAGGAAUUGACGGA
rnacentral:rRNA from 1 species